CAUUUUUCCUAAACACCUGUUUUGGCUGUUGUUGAAGACAUGACUCUGGUGUAAAAGGAUCCCUUCCCAUAGUACAAUCCUACUGAGAAGGGUCAUUUUAAUGCUUUUUUAGCUCUUUGUGACUCCAUGCAAUGACAAGGUGGAAUGUUUCUGCUUUCCAAUUUCUGAGAUGCUGAGAUGCCUGCUUAAACUCAUCAGAGUAUUGGAUUCUCUUCUGAACUUUGUAUCCAAACUUAUAAAUUUAUGAUUGUAGAGACUUCUUCCAUUCGAACUGCAACUAAGAAGCAGGUUGGAAUUCAAUUCUCGCCAAGAAAGUUUGUUUUCCUAGAAAUUACAUUUUGAAAUACAAAAACAGUGAAAUAUUGAAAUAGUAAUUUAUUGGACGUUUACUUUU